AUUUCAGAAAAUAUAUUCACAAUAUUGCGUUGGCUAACUAGCGACUUUCAACUUCAACUUCCAAGAGUUUGCCUCGUGGUGUAACACAUUCUGGUUAAUGAUUCCAUCAUGGCCGAAAUAAGAAGGAUGUUCUCAUUCAUAAUUUGGUCACUCAAAUCAGUCUUCCAUUAUGGAUUCAUUCCAGCUGUGAUAUAUUUAGGUUUUAGGAAAGGAGCAGAUGAAGGAAUGCCAAAAAUAACAGUGUCUAGUUUGUUGUGGAAUUAGGGAUGGCCCAUGACAACCAGUCACAAUUUUGAUGGAGGUAUUUCUCAUAUGAUGUACUGCAGCGCUGUUCCAGAUGAAUAGAUGAAGAAGUCAUAUUUGAUUCAGGAAAUUUUAUUAAAGCCUUGGUAAAAAAUA